GAGACUGACAGACACAGGAAAGCAGCAGACACAACGCUAUAGUGUUGCCGUAACUGAUACCCCAGUGACAUUCAGCAAACUGCAAUCUGAACAUCACCAGCAGCCCGAAUUCCACCAGCUACAAACUGGGUGGGAAGUGGACUGGCACUGGG